UAAUAUAUCGGAACGUACCCUGGAGUGGGGGAUAACGUAGCGAAAGUUACGCUAAUACCGCAUACGAUCUAAGGAUGAAAGUGGGGGAUUCGCAAGAACCUCAUGCUCCUGGAGCGGCCGAUAUCUGAUUAGCUAGUUGGUGGGGUAAAGGCCUACCAAGGCAUCGAUCAGUAGCUGGUCUGAGAGGACGACCAGCCACACUGGAACUGAGACACGGUCCAG
rnacentral:rRNA from 1 species